GCCGUCGGUGGGUUGCAGCGUGUCGAAUUCGGCUUUGUUGCUGGCAUAGCGGUAGCCGCCGGCCUUCAGUUCGGCGAUCAGGUCGCGGCCGUCGGUGC
rnacentral:tRNA from 1 species